AACAGGAUUAGAUACCCUGGUAGUCCACGCCGUAAACGAUGCUAACUCGUUUUUGGGUCUUCGGAUUCAGAGACUAAGCGAAAGUGAUAAGUUAGCCACCUGGGGAGUACGUUCGCAAGAAUGAAACUCAAAGGAAUUGACGGGGGCCCGCACAAGCGGUGGAUUAUGUGGUUUAAUUCGAUGAUACGCGAGGAACCUUACCAAGGCUUAAAUGGGAAUUGACAGGUUUAGAAAUAGACUUUUCUUCGGACAAUUUUCAAGGUGCUGCAUGGUUGUCGUCAGCUCGUGCCGUGAGGUGUUAGGUUAAGUCCUGCAACGAGCGCAACCCCUGCCACUAGUUGCUAGCAUUAAGUUGAGGACUCUAGUGAGACUGCCUACGCAAGUAGAGAGGAAGGUGGGGAUGACGUCAAAUCAUCACGGCCCUUACGCCUUGGGCCACACACGUAAUACAAUGGCCGGUACAGAGGGCAGCUACACAGCGAUGUGAUGCAAAUCUCGAAAGCCGGUCUCAGUUCGGAUUGGAGUCUGCAACUCGACUCUAUGAAGCUGGAAUCGCUAGUAAUCGCGCAUCAGCCAUGGCGCGGUGAAUACGUUCCCGGGCCUUGUACACACCGCCCGUCAAGCCAUGGAAGUCUGGGGUACCUGAAGUCGGUGACCGUAACAGGAGCUGCCUAGGGUAAAACAGGUAACUAGGGCUAAGUCGUAACAAGGUAACC
rnacentral:rRNA from 1 species